GGUCGACAGAGCGAGACUCCGUCUCAAAACAAAACAAAACAAAACGUCUCAAAACAAACCAAACAAAAAACACCUAACUUGUGAUUAAUAAGAUUUUUCUCAAUAUUCUUAGAAUACAAUCACUAAGUCCAAAUGGGCAUUAAUUUGUAAGUAGAGCCUAGCCUCAUGAAGGUUUAUAAUUGGAAAAAUAUUAGAAUACUAUAAUAUAUAGUAUUUUUAGUUUUUUAAAAAAGAAAUUGAGUUUUUAAAAUUAAACAUUCUGUGAUAAUUUUUUAGAAGAUAGAUCAAUUCCGUUAGGCUGAUGAUAGCUAACUAAAUAUGCAAUAAUCCAUAAGAAAGUGUUGGCCGGGCGCAGGGCUAAAGAAUGGCUAAGUUCAGUAUUAAGAAAAGCAGAAAGAUUGCGAUCCAUAAAAAAUCCUGACCACUAAAUAGAUUUAGUGAUCUAAUUAUAGCUAUGAUAAGGAAGCAAGGAGAAUAAUCUAGUAUUUUCCCUACCAAAAUACCUUUACUAGAUCUCUUAUUUGCAUUCUAGAGAUUGUUCUCUGCCUCCUAAAUAUCUAACACCCAACACAGUAACCCAAAGUAGUAUCCAAUUUUAAAAAGUGAUUGCUAUUUUGUGAGUUAAUUAUAAUUACUCCAGUCUCCAGAUUAACUACAGAUUUGAGUAACUGUUUAACUGAAGUAAAAUCAUUGCUACCUACCACUUGUAGUAAGGAUUACAGGUCGUUUAGUUGUUGCCAUGAAUGUUUUGAUUGCAUUCAGAAACCCAGCAUCUUCAUCAAAGAUUACAUCAACCUACAAACAAUUUAUUGAAUAUUAAUGUAAUACGUAACAAUACACUUACUGAAUAUCAGUUAUGUAUACACAGUAAAUAUUCUGUCUGUUAGAGACAAAAUUUAUGAAUUUAUGAACAGUGUGAAUUCAGCCCAUGUUGAAAGUUUAUAAUGUCACACGCUAUAAUGAAUUUUAAAAUUAUUAACUAUCAAAUGUU